rnacentral:lncRNA from 1 species
AACAAUUUACAACUGAAAAACCUAAAAAUGAAUAAUUGACUUCUUUUAAUAGAAAGGAAUCAGCAUUAGUCAUGUUAGAUUCCAUCUUAAAACCAAUAAACAUAAGUGUAAUAAGCCCAAUAGGUAUAUAAACUGCCACACCCCAGGAAUUGAGGCAGGUGAUAUUGGACUUCCAACGAGUCGCAUAGCAAAGAGUUGAAGGAAAAAACAGCAGAUGAUAAGAAGAAGAAAAAGUCAACAAUAAGCAAUAUGCUGAAAUUACCUGCUCUGCGGCCCGACCACCAAGAGUCAUGCAAGUCAUAUCAAAAAGUUGCUCCUUUGUCAUGAGAAGGUUCUCAUUUGGAACAUACUGGGCAAAUCCAAGAGCUGCAGUGCCACGAGGAACUAUGGUUACUUUCAAUAAAGGUUCAGCAUGUUCCAAGAACCAGCCAGCAACAGCAUGAUGUUCAGCCUACAACUCCUUUUUGGGUACUCACCACUUAUAACUGUGUGUAAAUAAAAAUUUCUGGGAAAGAGAAAUUAUUUUGCCUUUACAUUCUUAUAGCUCGAGUUCUGAGGAGUUCAGUAAUAUGCUCUAACACUUGCGUAAGUACUUCAUCUGCAACAGUUGAUGGCUCAAAAUAAAAAAUGAACAAGUACAUGCAUUGUCCCGUGGUAGUGAUAUGUAGGAAAUUUUCAAUAUAAACAGGUCAAGAAUAGUUGAAUAACUGAACACGUGAUUGUCUAGUUUAUAACAUAUCCAUAACCAAAAAAAUGAAAAAUAAAAUAUCUUUUAUUUAGCAGUUAUGAGAUACAAGCUUUCUCUAUAUCAAGGAAUGGAAAAACAACAAAUUCAUGUACAAUAACAAACAGUCUAACAUAAACUUGGUCAAUUAUGUGGGAACAACCAGAGGAUCUAACGGUGAAGAUCCACCGUUCUCCUCAGGCUCAUUGACAGGUUUUUCUAUUAUCUUCUCCUCGUCCUCCUGAAAACCUUGCUUAAAUCUAUCAUAAUUGGUGGGUUCGGCAGACUUGAAUGGCCGUUCUCCCAAAACUCGAACCAUGUCAUCUUGGUGAAGCACCUCUUUUUCAAGAAGCAACUCUGCAAUUUUAGUCACUUGUUCCUUGUGUUCCUCUAUGAGAUGUAUUGUUCGUUCAUAUGCUUUGCCUACCCAUUCGCGCACUUCAUUGUCAAUGAUUGCAGCAGUUUUGCUGCUGUAUGGUUUUGACAUCUCAAACGAGUCCUCUCGUUGAGGAAAAGAGAGAAGGCCAACUUUGUCGCUAAAACCAUAGACUGCUACUUGCGCAUAUGUCAUCUUGGUCACUUUUUCCAAAUCAUUUUGCGCUCCAGUUGAGAUUCUCCCAAUGAGAACCUGGAAUAAGAAGGCAGGGAAACCAUCAUUUUCGUGGCUACGAAGGAUGGGAUUGUGAAACAAUUUACAACUGAAAAACCUAAAAAUGAAUAAUUGACUUCUUUUAAUAGAAAGGAAUCAGCAUUAGUCAUGUUAGAUUCCAUCUUAAAACCAAUAAACAUAAGUGUAAUAAGCCCAAUAGGUAUAUAAACUGCCACACCCCAGGAAUUGAGGCAGGUGAUAUUGGACUUCCAACGAGUCGCAUAGCAAAGAGUUGAAGGAAAAAACAGCAGAUGAUAAGAAGAAGAAAAAGUCAACAAUAAGCAAUAUGCUGAAAUUACCUGCUCUGCGGCCCGACCACCAAGAGUCAUGCAAGUCAUAUCAAAAAGUUGCUCCUUUGUCAUGAGAAGGUUCUCAUUUGGAACAUACUGGGCAAAUCCAAGAGCUGCAGUGCCACGAGGAACUAUGGUUACUUUCAAUAAAGGUUCAGCAUGUUCCAAGAACCAGCCAGCAACAGCAUGACCUGAUUCAUGAUAAGCAACAGUACGCCUUUCAAGCUUGCUUAUUACCUGGUUAAGAAACAA